rnacentral:rRNA from 1 species
AAUCUUCCACAAUGGACGAAAGUCUGAUGGAGCAACGCCGCGUGAGUGAAGAAGGUUUUAGGAUCGUAAAACUCUGUUGUUGGAGAAGAACAGGGACUAGAGUAACUGUUAGUCCUUUGACGGUAUCCAACCAGAAAGCCACGGCUAACUACGUGCCAGCAGCCGAGGUAAUCCGUAGGUGGCAAGCGUUGUCCGGAUUUAUUGGGCGUAAAGCGAGCGCAGGCGGUUUUUUAAGUCCGAUGUGAAAGCCUUCGGCUUAACCGAAGAAGUGCAUUAGAAACUGGAAAACUUGAGUGCAGAAGAGGACAGUGGAACUCCAUGUGUAGCGGUGAAAUGCGUAGAUAUAUGGAAGAACACCAGUGGCGAAGGCGGCUGUCUGGUCUGUAACUGACGCUGAGGCUCGAAAGUAUGGGGAGCGAACAG